AUUGAACGCUGGCGGCAGGCCUAACACAUGCAAGUCGAGCGAGCGGCGGACGGGUGAGUAAUGUCUGGGAAUUGCCCAGUCGGGGGGGAUAACAGUUGGAAACGACUGCUAAUACCGCAUACGAUUGGAUUGCCCAGGUGGGAUUAGCUAGUUGGUGUGGUAAUGGCUCACCAAGGCGACGAUCCCUAGCGGGUCGGAGAUGAUGACCAGGCAAACUGGAACUGAGAAACGGUCCAGACUCCUACGGGAGGGAGCAGUGGGAAAUAUUGCACAAUGGGGGAAAGCCUGAUGCAGCCAUGCCGGGUGUGGGGAGAAGGCCUUCGGGUUGUAAAGCACUUUCAGCGAGGAGGCGUUACUCGCAGAAGAAGCACCGGCUAACUCCGUGCCAGCAGCCGCGGUAAUAC
rnacentral:rRNA from 1 species